GAAAAGUCUCCGAAUUGGACCGAGGUUUUGGCUAGCCCCCCAUUGUCAGACGUCCCGAGCGCGUUCCCGAAGUCGGAAUCGGCAAAGGUGAGCCGGGACAGCCUUCUUCCUCCGCCCAGCCACCACAGUGAUUUGUCGUCAAGUCUGCCACAGGAGGAUAUUUUGUUCUGGGUUAACCUGCUUUUAUCCUUCGCAGGUUGUUUAUCCAUGUUUGUGUAAUUUUAAUUACUCCUAGAAUUUUCUCAUGUGUUAGCGAGAUUUAUUUGAAUUUGGUCUGUAAUAUUUUUAUCAUGAUUGGACCUGUAAACUUAAAUAUGUUAUGUAUGUUUGAUGGAUUGGAUGAGGGAGCUGAGCUCCCAUUUAUUUUAUGUUGAUGAGUAUGUGGAGGGUGAGCUGAGCUCCCCAAUUGAGUA